CCUACGGGCGGCUGCAGUGGGGAAUAUUGCACAAUGGGCGCAAGCCUGAUGCAGCCAUGCCGCGUGUGUGAAGAAGGCCUUCGGGUUGUAAAGCACUUUCAGCGGGGAGGAAGGCGUUAAGGUUAAUAACCUUGGCGAUUGACGUUACCCGCAGAAGAAGCACCGGCUAACUCCGUGCCAGCAGCCGCGGUAAUACGGAGGGUGCAAGCGUUAAUCGGAAUUACUGGGCGUAAAGCGCACGCAGGCGGUCUGUCAAGUCGGAUGUGAAAUCCCCGGGCUCAACCUGGGAACUGCAUUCGAAACUGGCAGGCUAGAGUCUGGUAGGGGGGGGUAGAAUUCCAGGUGUAGCGGUGAAAUGCGUAGAGAUCUGGAGGAAUACCGGGGGCGAAGGCGGCCCCCUGGACAAAGACUGACGCUCAGGGGCGAAAGCGUGGGGAGCAAACAGGAUGAGAUACCGGGUAGUC
rnacentral:rRNA from 1 species